GAUGAACGCUGGCGGCGUGCUUAACACAUGCAAGUCGAACGAUUAAAGCCCCUUCGGGGGUGUAUAGAGUGGCGAACGGGUGAGUAACACGUGGGCAAUCUGCCCCUCACUUCGGGAUAACUCAGGGAAACUUGAGCUAAUACCGGAUACUCCGGGAAGGUCGCAUGGCCAACCCGGGAAAGCUCCGACGGUGAGGGAUGAGCCCGCGGCCCAUUAGCUUGUUGGUGAGGUAACGGCUCACCAAGGCAACGAUGGGUAGCCGAGCUGAGAGGCUGAUCGGCCACACUGGGACUGAGACACGGCCCAGACUCCUACGGGUGGCAG
rnacentral:rRNA from 1 species